rnacentral:rRNA from 1 species
GACGAACGCUGGCGGCGUGCCUAAUACAUGCAAGUGGGACACAAGGAAACACACUGUGCUUGCACACCGUGUUUUCUUGAGUCGCGAACGGGUGAGUAACGCGUAGGUAACCUGCCUAUUAGCGGGGGAUAACUAUCGGAAACGAUAGCUAAUACCGCAUAAUAUUAAUUAUUGCAUGAUAAUUGAUUGAAAGAUGCAAGCGCAUCACUAGUAGAUGGACCUGCGUUGUAUUAGCUAGUUGGUAAGGUAAGAGCUUACCAAGGCGACGAUACAUAGCCGACCUGAGAGGGGGAGCGGCAACGCUGGGACGGAGACACGGCCCAGACUCCUACGGGAGGCAGCAGUAGGGAAUCUUCGGCAAUGGACGAAAGUCUGACCGAGCAACGCCGCGUGAGUGAAGAAGGUUUUCGGAUCGUAAAGCUCUGUUGUAAGUCAAGAACGUGUGUGAGAGUGGAAAGUGCACACAGUGACGGUAGCUGACCAGAAAGGGACGGCUAACUACGUG